AGACCCGAAACCCGGUGAUCUAGCCAUGGGCAGGUUGAAGGUUGGGUAACACUAACUGGAGGACCGAACCGACUAAUGUUGAAAAAUUAGCGGAUGACCUGUGGCUGGGGGUGAAAGGCCAAUCAAACCGGGAGAUAGCUGGUUCUCCCCGAAAGCUAUUUAGGUAGCGCCUCGUGAAUUCAUCUCCGGGGGUAGAGCACUGUUUCGGCUAGGGGGCCAUCCCGGCUUACCAACCCGAUGCAAACUGCGAAUACCGGAGAAUGUUAUCACGGGAGACACACGGCGGGUGCUAACGUCCGUCGUGAAGAGGGAAACAACCCAGACCGCCAGCUAAGGUCCCAAAGUCAUGGUUAAGUGGGAAACGAUGUGGGAAGGCCCAGACAGCCAGGAUGUUGGCUUAGAAGCAGCCAUCAUUUAAAGAAAGCGUAAUAGCUCACUGGUCGAGUCGGCCUGCGCGGAAGAUGUAACGGGGCUAAACCAUGCACCGAAGCUGCGGCAGCGACACUCAGGUGUUGUUGGGUAGGGGAGCGUUCUGUAAGCCUGCGAAGGUGGCCUGUGAGGGUUGCUGGAGGUAUCAGAAGUGCGAAUGCUGACAUAAGUAACGAUAAAGCGGGUGAAAAGCCCGCUCGCCGGAAGACCAAGGGUUCCUGUCCAACGUUAAUCGGGGCAGGGUGAGUCGACCCCUAAGGCGAGGCCGAAAGGCGUAGUCGAUGGGAAACGGGUUAAUAUUCCCGUACUUGGUGUUACUGCGAAGGGGGGACGGAGAAGGCUAUGUUGGCCGGGCGACGGUUGUCCCGGUUUAAGCGUGUAGGUGUGUGUUCCAGGUAAAUCCGGUUCACUUUAACACUGAGGCGUGAUGACGAGGCACUACGGUGCUGAAGCAACAAAUGCCCUGCUUCCAGGAAAAGCCUCUAAGCAUCAGGUAACAUCAAAUCGUACCCCAAACCGACACAGGUGGUCAGGUAGAGAAUACCAAGGCGCUUGAGAGAACUCGGGUGAAGGAACUAGGCAAAAUGGUGCCGUAACUUCGGGAGAAGGCACGCUGACAUGUAGGUGAAGUGAUUUACUCAUGGAGCUGA
rnacentral:rRNA from 1 species